GGAAGUAAAAGUCGUAACAAGGUUUCCGUAGGUGAACCUGCGGAAGGAUCAUUCAUAAUAAAGUGUUUUAUGGCACUUUUUAAAAAUCCAUAUCCACCUUGUGUGCAAUGUUAGAUCUCGUCAAUCUUGGCGAGAUUUUUAUACAUCAACUCAUUCUUUAACUAAUUUGUCUGAAAAAUAUUAUGAAUACUUAAUUCAAAAUACAACUUUCAACAACGGAUCUCUUGGCUCUC
rnacentral:misc_RNA from 1 species